UACAGAGGUCUCAAGCGUUGUUCGGAUUCAUUGGGCGUAAAGGGUGCGUAGGUGGUGCGGUAAGUCAGGUGUGAAAUCCCGGGGCUCAACCCCGGAACUGCACUUGAUACUGCCGUGCUCGAGGACUGGAGAGGAGAUCGGAAUUCAUGGUGUAGCAGUGAAAUGCGUAGAUAUCAUGAGGAAGACCAGUGGCGAAGGCGGAUCUCUGGACAGUCCUGACACUGAGGCACGAAGGCCAGGGGAGCAAACGGG
rnacentral:rRNA from 1 species